rnacentral:rRNA from 1 species
AAUAUUGCACAAUGGAGGAAACUCUGAUGCAGCGACGCCGCGUGAAGGAUGAAGGCCUUCGGGUCGUAAAGUUCUGUCCUAGGGGACGAUAAUGACGGUACCCUAGGAGGAUGGCACGGCUAACUACGUGCCAGCAGCCGCGGUAAUACGUAGGGGGCGAGCGUUGUCCGGAAUUAUUGGUUGUAAAGGGUUCGUAUGCGGUCUUUUAAGUCAGAUGUAAAAGGUCACGGCUCAACCGUGGUAAGCAUUUGAAACUGAAAGACUUGAGUUAAGGAAAGGAAAGUGGAAUUCCUAGUGUAGCGGUGAAAUGCGUAGAUAUUAGGAGGAAUACCAGUGGCGAAGGCGACUUUCUGGACUUAUACUGACGCUGAGGAACGAAAGCGUGGGGAGCAAACAGG